CGGUUAUACGAGAGGCCCUAGUUAAUAGUAUUACGGCGUAAAGGGUGGUUAAGGGUUACAUCCAAUAAAGCCAAAUAGCCCUCUGGCCGUCAUACGCUUCCAGGCGCUAGAAAUCCAAAUUACACGAAAGUAGCUUUAAUAAUAUUACCUGACCCCACGAAAGCUGAGAAACAAACUGGGAUUAGAUACCCCACUAUGCUCAGCCGUAUACCCAGACAUUUAGACACAUCACAUGUCCGCCAGGGUACUACAAGCAUUAGCUUAAAACCCAAAGGACUGACGGUGCCUUAGACCCCCCUAGAGGAGCCUGUUCUAGAACCGAUAACCCCCGUUAAACCUCACCACUCCUGGUCACCCCAGCCUAUAUACCGCCGUCGCCAGCUUACCCUGUGAAGGUAAUAAAAGUAAGCAAAAUGGGCACAACCCAAAACGUCAGGUCGAGGUGUAGCGCACGGAGUGGGAAGAAAUGGGCUACAUUUUCUAAUACAGAACACUACGAAUACGCAACAUGAAAUAGUGCUUGAAGGAGGAUUUAGUAGUAAAAAGGAAAAAGAGUGUCCUUUUGAACCCGGCUCUGAGACGCGUACACACCGCCCGUCACUCUCCCCUGUCAAAAUGCAACAAACAUAUUUAAUACCAAAGCGCUGACAAGGGGAGGCAAGUCGUAACAUGGUAAGUGUACCGGAAGGUGCACUUGG
rnacentral:rRNA from 1 species